GGAUCCGUAGUGUAGUGGUUAUCACGCUCGCUUCACGCGCGAGAGGGCCUGGGUUCAAGACCGAGCGGAACCA